rnacentral:sRNA from 1 species
UCCAAUCCACCAUGGUCCUCGUAUCUGG